rnacentral:sRNA from 1 species
UUAUAGCCCCGAUUGCAGCGGCAUCCUUUUUUGGAGGUGAAGCGCAGCGAAAGCACCAAAAAAGAUACAGCGGAAAGCGGGACUGCCC